GUUUGAUCCUGGCUCAGGAUGAACGCUAGCUACAGGCUUAACACAUGCAAGUCGAGGGGCAUCAGGAAGAAAGCUUGCUUUCUUUGCUGGCGACCGGCGCACGGGUGAGUAACACGUAUCCAACCUGCCCUUUACUCGGGGAUAGCCUUUCGAAAGAAAGAUUAAUACCCGAUAGCAUAAUGAUUCCGCAUGGUUUCAUUAUUAAGGGAUUCCGGUAAAGGAUGGGGAUGCGUUCCAUUAGGUUGUUGGUGAGGUAACGGCUCACCAAGCCUUCGAUGGAUAGGGGUUCUGAGAGGAAGGUCCCCCACAUUGGAACUGAGACACGGUCCAAACUCCUACGGGAGGCAGCAGUGAGGAAUAUUGGUCAAUGGGCGCUAGCCUGAACCUAGCCUAAGUAGCGUGAAGGAUGAAGGCUCUAUGGGUCGUAAACUUCUUUUAUAUAAGAAUAAAGUGCAGUAUGUAUACUGUUUUGUAUGUAUUAUAUGAAUAAGGAUCGGCUAACUCCGUGCCAGCAGCCGCGGUAAUACGGAGGAUCCGAGCGUUAUCCGGAUUUAUUGGGUUUAAAGGGAGCGUAGGUGGACUGGUAAGUCAGUUGUGAAAGUUUGCGGCUCAACCGUAAAAUUGCAGUUGAUACUGUCAGUCUUGAGUACAGUAGAGGUGGGCGGAAUUCGUGGUGUAGCGGUGAAAUGCUUAGAUAUCACGAAGAACUCCGAUUGCGAAGGCAGCUCACUGGACUGCAACUGACACUGAUGCUCGAAAGUGUGGGUAUCAAACAGGAUUAGAUACCCUGGUAGUCCACACAGUAAACGAUGAAUACUCGCUGUUUGCGAUAUACAGUAAGCGGCCAAGCGAAAGCAUUAAGUAUUCCACCUGGGGAGUACGCCGGCAACGGUGAAACUCAAAGGAAUUGACGGGGGCCCGCACAAGCGGAGGAACAUGUGGUUUAAUUCGAUGAUACGCGAGGAACCUUACCCGGGCUUAAAUUGCAGUGGAAUGAUGUGGAAACAUGUCAGUGAGCAAUCACCGCUGUGAAGGUGCUGCAUGGUUGUCGUCAGCUCGUGCCGUGAGGUGUCGGCUUAAGUGCCAUAACGAGCGCAACCCUUAUCUUCAGUUACUAACAGGUCAUGCUGAGGACUCUGGAGAGACUGCCGUCGUAAGAUGUGAGGAAGGUGGGGAUGACGUCAAAUCAGCACGGCCCUUACGUCCGGGGCUACACACGUGUUACAAUGGGGGGUACAGAAGGCAGCUAGCGGGUGACCGUAUGCUAAUCCCAAAAUCCUCUCUCAGUUCGGAUCGAAGUCUGCAACCCGACUUCGUGAAGCUGGAUUCGCUAGUAAUCGCGCAUCAGCCACGGCGCGGUGAAUACGUUCCCGGGCCUUGUACACACCGCCCGUCAAGCCAUGGGAGCCGGGGGUACCUGAAGUACGUAACCGCAAGGAUCGUCCUAGGGUAAAACUGGUGACUGGGGCUAAGUCGUAACAAGGUAGCCGUACCGGAAGGUGCGGCUGGAACACCUCCUUUCU
rnacentral:rRNA from 1 species